GCCCACUCAAUCCUGUCCCAUUUCACCUUAUCGGAUCUCACUCCCUUUGUCCUUAACACACAUCAUCAACUGCUUUCUCUCUUCUAGCGUUGUUCCUUCUGACCUUAAACAUGCCACUGUAGUACCUAUCCUGAAAAAAAAUCCCUUGACCCGACCUCCCCCUCUAACUAUUGUUCCAUAUCCCUGCUCCAUUUUUCCUCAAAGCUUCUGGAAAGACUUGUCUCAAUUCCAAUUCUCUCCUUGAUCUCCUCUUCAAUCUGUGUGAGGGGUGCAGUGUGUGUGAAAGGUUCAGUGUGUGUGUG